CUGGGACAAUGUGGCUGUGUUAGUUGAUGAAACACUUAUACCACAAGAGCUGUGUAGCCCGAUCCUACAGACCCCAACACACCAGAACAUAAAACAAAAGGUCCUUCUAAUAAGGAAUAAGAACGUUGGAAACAGACAAUCCGUUCCUGAACAAAGGAUCCGUAAGGGUGAUGGCUACUCGAUAGCACAUAGGGCUGAAAUCAACCAUGAUAAAAGGCCGUGUGCUUCUCUAAACCUCUCUGUGAAAGCUGCUACCCCUAAAAACGUUCACCAUCGUAAGCAUAAGAAGCA